UCUGCCCGCCUUGGGGUACCCCUAGCGGCCCGAGGCGAACCAUGGGGUCGAACCAGGGACGCCAGGGUUCCCGGGGCCCAGUGCAAGGGCUGAUAGGAAGACACUUUCGUCCGUGGGGGACCCAGGCACCGCUUCUCCGCGGCGCAGUUUUUUUUUUCUUUUGGCUGCCCCAGGUACCUCACCUUCCCCUCAUGAGCCAUCUGCCUGCUUUGGGGUACCCCUAGUGGACCGAGGCGCACCCUCGGCUCGAAUCAGGGUCGUCAGGGUCCCCGGGGCGCAGCGCAAGGGCUGAUGGGAAGACACUUUCGUCCGUGGCGGACCCAGGCCCCGCUUCUCUGCGGUGCGGUUUUUUUUUUUUUUUUUUUUUUUUGUCUGCCACAGGUGCC
rnacentral:lncRNA from 1 species